rnacentral:rRNA from 1 species
UACGGAGGGUGCAAGCGUUACCCGGAAUCAUUGGGCGUAAAGCGUCCGCAGGCCGUCUGUUAAGUUGGAUGUUAAAUUUUGGAGCCCAACUCUAAAAAUGUAUCCAAAACUGGCAGGCUAGAGCCUCCUAGAGGUACGUGGAAUUCUGUGUGUAGGGGUAAAAUCCGUAGAUAUACAGAGGAACACCAAAAGCGAAGGCAGCGUACUGGAGGAGUGCUGACGCUCAUGGACGAAAGCGUGGGGAGCAAACGGG